GCAUGCAAGUCGAGCGAGAACCUAUCCUUCGGGAUAGGGGACAGCGGCGAACGGGUGAGUAACACGUGAAUAACCUACCCCUACGUUCCGGACAAUUCACCGAAAGGUGUUGUAAUACGGGCGAGGAUUCGAGCAGGGCAUCCUGUUCGAAGGGAAGGCUUCAACACUUGUGUUGAAGUCGCGCAGGGAGGGGUUCGCGGAGUAUCAGGUAGUUGGUGGGGUAACGGCCUACCAAGCCAACGACACUUAGCUGGUCUGAGAGGAUGGUCAGCCACAUUGGGACUGAGACACUGCCCAGACUCCUACGGGAGGCUGCAGUCGAGAAUCUUGCACAAUGUACGAAAGUAUGAUGCAGCGACGCCGCGUGGAGGAUGAAGGCCCCUGGGUCGUAAACUCCUUUUAAGAGGGAAGAACGGAGCUUUGCUCUUUGACGGUACCUCUUGAAUAAGCCACGGCUAACUACGUGCCAGCAGCCGCGGUAAUACGUAGGUGGCAAGCGUUGUCCGGAUUUACUG
rnacentral:rRNA from 1 species